rnacentral:rRNA from 1 species
UACGGAGGGUGCGAGCGUUGUCCGGAAUCACUGGGCGUAAAGGGCGCGUAGGCGGUUCGUUAAGUCGUUGGUGAAAUCCCGGGGCUCAACUCCGGGGCGGCCGGCGAGACUGGCGGGCUCGAGCACGGUAGAGGCAGAUGGAAUUCCCGGUGUAGCGGUGGAAUGCGUAGAUAUCGGGAAGAACACCAGUGGCGAAGGCGUUCUGCUGGGCCGUUGCUGACGCUGAGGCGCGACAGCGUGGGGAGCAAACAGG